CCUACGGGUGGCACCAGUGGGGAAUAUUGGACAAUGGGCGAAAGCCUGAUCCAGCAAUGCCGCGUGAGUGAUGAAGGCCUUAGGGUUGUAAAGCUCUUUUACCCGGGAUGAUAAUGACAGUACCGGGAGAAUAAGCUCCGGCUAACUCCGUGCCAGCAGCCGCGGUAAUACGGAGGGAGCUAGCGUUAUUCGGAAUUACUGGGCGUAAAGCGCACGUAGGCGGCUUUGUAAGUUAGAGGUGAAAGCCUGGAGCUCAACUCCAGAAUUGCCUUUAAGACUGCAUCGCUUGAAUCCAGGAGAGGUGAGUGGAAUUCCGAGUGUAGAGGUGAAAUUCGUAGAUAUUCGGAAGAACACCAGUGGCGAAGGCGGCUCACUGGACUGGUAUUGACGCUGAGGUGCGAAAGCGUGGGGAGCAAACAGGAUUAGAUACCCUUGUAGUC
rnacentral:rRNA from 1 species